GAUGAACGCUGGCGGCGUGCUUAACACAUGCAAGUCGAACGAGAAGUGGAGACGGAAACCUUCGGGCGGAAGACUUUACUUCGAGUGGCGGACGGGUGAGUAACGCGUGGGUAACCUGCCUCAUACAGGGGGAUAACAGUUGGAAACGACUGUUAAUACCGCAUAAGACCACAGCACCGCAUGGUGCGGGGGUAAAAACUCCGGUGGUAUGAGAUGGACCCGCGUUCGAUUAGCCAGUUGGCGGGGUAACGGCCCACCAAAGCGACGAUCGAUAGCCGAUCUGAGAGGAUGACCGGCCACAUUGGGACUGAGACACGGCCCAAACUCCUACGGGAGGCAGCAGUGGGGAAUAUUGCACAAUGGGGGAAACCCUGAUGCAGCGACGCCGCGUGAGUGAAGAAGUAUGUCGGUAUGUAAAGCUCUAUCAGCAGGGAAGAAAAUGACAGUACCUGAGGAAGAAGCCCCGGCUAACUACGUG
rnacentral:rRNA from 1 species